UACGUAGGGUGCGAGCGUUAAUCGGAAUUACUGGGCGUAAAGCGUGCGCAGGCGGUUUUGUAAGCCAGAUGUGAAAGCCCCGGGCUUAACCUGGGAAUGGCAUUUGGGACUGCAAGGCUGGAGUGUGGCAGAGGAGACUGGAAUUCCUGGUGUAGCAGUGAAAUGCGUAGAUAUCAGGAGGAAUACCGAUGGCGAAGGCAGCACUCUGGGACGUGACUGACGCUGAGACGCGAAAGCGUGGGGAGCAAACAGG
rnacentral:rRNA from 1 species